rnacentral:rRNA from 1 species
UACUCCUACGGGAGGCAGCAGUGGGGAAUAUUGGACAAUGGGCGAAAGCCUGAUCCAGCAAUGCCGCGUGAGUGAUGAAGGCCUUAGGGUUGUAAAGCUCUUUUACCCGGGAAGAUAAUGACUGUACCGGGAGAAUAAGCCCCGGCUAACUCCGUGCCAGCAGCCGCGGUAAU